rnacentral:misc_RNA from 1 species
UACCGCGGUAAUUCCAGCUCCAAUAGCGUAUAUUAAAGUUGUUGCAGUUAAAAAGCUCGUAGUUGAAUUUCGGGAUCAAGGAAUCGGUCAUGCCUUGGUAUGUACUGGUUUUAUUGGUUCUCACCUUCUAAAGAACCAUAAUGUCAUUUAUUUGAUGUUAUGGGGAAUUAGGACUGUUACCUUGAAAAAAUUAGAGUGUUUAAAGCAAGCUUACGCUUGAAUACAUUAGCAUGGAAUAAUGAAAUAGGACAUCAGAUUCUAUUUUGUUGGUUUCUAGGAUCGAUGUAAUGAUUAAUAGGGAUAGUUGGGGGCAUUAGUAUUCAAUUGUCAGAGGUGAAAUUCUUGGAUUUAUUGAAGACUAACUACUGCGAAAGCAUUUGCCAAGGAUGUUUUCAUUAAUCAAGAACGAAAGUUAGGGGAUCGAAGACGAUCAGAUACCGUCGUAGUCUUAACCAUAAACUAUGCCGACUAGGGAUCGGAUGAUGUUAAUUUUUUAAUGACUCAUUCGGCACCUUACG